CUCUCUCUCUGUCCCUGUCUCUCUGUCUCAGUCUCUCUGUCUCAGUCUCUCUCUGAUCUUGUCUCCCUCUCUGUCCCUGUCUCUCCGUCCCUGUCUUGUCUCUUUGUCUCUUACAAACUUUCUUCAACUUUUCAACAUGCUCCCGCUCCCUCCAACACUGCGCAUGCGUACACGCCCCUCCCCCUGGGUGUGUUCAUCUGAGCCAAUCACAGCUCGGACUCAUGCGCGAUCGCGCCGCACGGACACGAGCCCCGUGUUGUUGAAACCAGGAAUAAAGUUCAGCGACAGCUCCAUGGCAACGCUGUGUUUGCGGCAGUGGCAGGUUUCCAUGGUUACAGCCGGUAAGGCGCGGCAGAUUCAGGUUAAAGGACAAUCAGGACCAGAACCUGGUUCAGGGCCCAGGGAUAGGACGGGAACCAGGUCCCACAAGAGACCUUUUCAUGAAUGAAGAGCUGAACGUUGUGGGUUCUAAACCUCCUCUGCUUCAGUCUGGACCUGGACCCAGAGGGACGGUGGAGACCUGGUUCAUAGGACGGGAGGACAGACUCCGUUUGAGGUUACCCCCCCUCAGAGACACCAGGAGACACCAGGAGACACCGUGAGACACCAGGAGACACCAUGAGACACCGUCCAUGAUGCUGUUGCUAUGUAACUGGCCUAACAACCACAUCACCUUGGAGACGGUCUUGAAAACUACUUCUGUGUAUUUGUUAAUAAAGAUAAUUAUAAUUAUU